GUUUCUUUCAGCGAAUUAAAACAUCAGUUUCUGCAUGACGACAAUGCUGCACCAUUCUCUACUCUAAAACCUGCUCUGGCUCUAGCUUAAAAGCUCCAUUAGUAGCAAUCGGCGGCAAUGAGGAACAUAGAACAUUGCGCUGACCAAGUCUCUUCUUCAUAAAUGAAACAUCAAAUGUGGGAUGAAACCUAGCAGGAGGGGGAAGAUCUAAUCGGUAGGCAACUGAUCCACUCCAUUCCAAAAUCUUGUAAGGCCUAUAGAACCGUGGUGAAAGCUUCGAAUUUCAACAAGCAACCAUGGAAUGUUAACGAUAAGGCUAUAAUUGAAGCUAUUUAACCCCAUAGGGCAGGUGUUGUCACCUUGGCCUCUUUGGUUGCAUGCAGCUUAGCAGACCACUUUAUCACCUCUAUAUAAAGUGAAGUUGUCUCAGAGUCUAUACAGAAAUCCAUCCCUCACACCUCAGUUAUGAAGUUUUUCUUUCCUUUUUUCUUCUUACAUGAUCCUAGAAAUAAUUUUAGUUUCAAAAUAGAAAUUCAGUGAUUCCAUGAUUCUAGCUUGUUGAAACCAUGGAAGAAUUUCCUUAUCAGAAUGCUGCAAAGAGAAAAUCCCCUUCUUGUUGUGUGAAUACUUGGCAUCAAUGGUACAUAAUACCAUGUCUUCUGGAUGGACAUAAGGUGGGCUCUGAUCAACUUGAUAUUGCCAAAGAGGUGAGAAACAAACCAGACAUGGCGUCAAAAUUGGUCAAGUUCAUCAAUUUCAACAGCUCUCUUUUUCUCACAUUCCAAACAUUCUGCAAACCGAAUUUUAAAACUUCUUAAAACAACAAAAGUAUAUCACACGACACACAUGAGGGAAACUUCAACAACACCAUCCCCACUUGGGCACCAACUUAUCUCUCAAAGAUGAGGCGACCACGAAGAACCGACACUAGUUCUCUACUUAUGGACCAUUGAGUUCCUCUUCAAAUAUUCGAUCUACAUCAACCUCUCUACAUUUCACUGCAUGCAGACCCCAUUGCAUAUAUGCUUUCAAAGGUCAGGUGUUCUCUAUAAAUUUUGUACUUCAAUCUUGGCUGUAUAUAGUUUUAUGUUCUUUUUCUCUCUCUCACUUCUAGAGGGAGUUGAGUUUGUAAAGAGAUACUUGAUUUGCCCGUGUGGUGAGAACAUGCAAUAUAUAUUAUGAUAGUUAUAUAUACUAGAUUCUAAUAUAAUCGCAUAAUUUAUUGAAGAUUA